GGAGGUGUAGUUCAGAGGUAGAAUGCCUGCUUAGCAUGCAUGAGACUCUGGGUUUGAGCCCCAGCACUUCCU
rfam:Ictidomys tridecemlineatus contig009323, whole genome shotgun sequence.